rnacentral:lncRNA from 1 species
AGAAGCUUCGCCAUGUGUGCUUCUUUCUCCCAGUUAACUUUGAUAACAUGGAAAAAAUGGGGCUGUAGAGAGGAUCUAACUGAGCAAACAGUAUUGUGUUGAAAAAGGAUUACAAUGAUAUUGCAUUAACUUGCACAAUGUGAAAAACAGUAAGAUUAUAAUAUAGGAAACAACAAAAUAAUUAGCAGACCACAGUGGAGAAGAGAGUGCACAAGACUCAGGGUCAUCUUGGUGAUCUGCUGCAGCAGUGUAAGAUCUUGUCAGGUUCCUGUGUCCUUUGGCUGUCCUGUGCUCACUGUCACGCCUCGGUGAGGAUGGAAUUCUUACAGAUGUUUGUUGAAGAAGGUGGUAAUCACAAUAGCUACCUGUAAUAUUCUUUAUCAACAGACAGAACUGCUCAGGUGUUCACUGCAGGAUAAAAGAGCUUUGGUGAGCACAGAUGGACUUUCUGGAGCUUCUGAAAGACAAGGAGAAUUAGCAGAAGAGUCACUGUGUUUAGCACAGUUUCCUUGUUUCCUUUAGAGAAGGAAAGGAUAUCCAUCUCCAGACAACCAGAGGAAUACCUGCGUGGAUAAAUUACCAUGAGUCUUUCACAGGGGGAGAAGAUUCAUCCUGAAUGUCACUCCAUCGGAGAUGUGCCACGUGGGGGCUGUUCUGUAUCAUGCUUGUCAGAUAGAGGAGCUGAAUGCUAAAGGUGCCACGUGCCCAGCUCGGUGACGCAUAAAGAGUGCAAGAUUCGGGUCAGAAUUCAGCUUUUCAGUCUGUCAGAAUGGAGAUAAUGGAGUUUAGCCUUCUGAAUACAACUGCAAAUAUUUGCAGUAGCGUGGUUGGAAAUUGUGUGUCUGCUGAACAAUAGGCCCAGUGCAAUGCACCAAUAGAACAACUACCUGUGCAGCUGCAGUAUUUCACCCAAAGACUAUUUUGCAGAAUUGAAAAAUAAUCAUUUGAAAAAACAAAACAAAAAAAACAAUAUUCACCUGCAUCUUCCCAGAAGGGAAGAAAGUGCUUGCUGAAGUAUGAAGUGUGUCCUGUUAAGAAGUAUGUUUAUUUAAGUCUGAAGUAUGUCUGGUCGAGAGGUCACUUCUCAGAUCUAAUCUGUAUUCCAGUGAGUGCUCUGUUCUAGGGGAGACAAUGAAUUUUUUUUCUCAGUUGUUCUGUCCUAUUUCCCUUUCCAGUUCACUUCAUU